AGCGAACGCUGGCGGCAGGCUUAACACAUGCAAGUCGAGCGGGCAUAGCAAUAUGUCAGCGGCAGACGGGUGAGUAACGCGUGGGAACGUACCUUUUGGUUCGGAACAACACAGGGAAACUUGUGCUAAUACCGGAUAAGCCCUUACGGGGAAAGAUUUAUCGCCGAAAGAUCGGCCCGCGUCUGAUUAGCUAGUUGGUGAGGUAAUGGCUCACCAAGGCGACGAUCAGUAGCUGGUCUGAGAGGAUGAUCAGCCACAUUGGGACUGAGACACGGCCCAAACUCCUACGGGAGGCAGCAGUGGGGAAUAUUGGACAAUGGGCGCAAGCCUGAUCCAGCCAUGCCGCGUGAGUGAUGAAGGCCCUAGGGUUGUAAAGCUCUUUUGUGCGGGAAGAUAAUGACGGUACCGCAAGAAUAAGCCCCGGCUAACUUCGUGCCAGCAGCCGCGGUAAUACGAAGGGGGCUAGCGUUGCUCGGAAUCACUGGGCGUAAAGGGUGCGUAGGCGGGUCUUUAAGUCAGGGGUGAAAUCCUGGAGCUCAACUCCAGAACUGCCUUUGAUACUGAAGAUCUUGAGUUCGGGAGAGGUGAGUGGAACUGCGAGUGUAGAGGUGAAAUUCGUAGAUAUUCGCAAGAACACCAGUGGCGAAGGCGGCUCACUGGCCCGAUACUGACGCUGAGGCACGAAAGCGUGGGGAGCAAACAGG
rnacentral:rRNA from 1 species